GGAAAUCACAGCCAUACGGGAUAUGCUCCCCCAGCUGAACUAUAUCUGCAUUUUAACGGUGGGAGAAAAGUCGCUAUAUGGCAAUGUGCUCCUCCUUCUACCCUGCCAACCUCAUCUGUCAGCCAUUAGUUAAUCAGGGCUGGUAACACAGAGCACAGAGAGCUGGCACAGCUCGUGGGACCAGAGGACAGCUUCACCUCUGAGAGCAAAAAGAGGGCAAGGACUCAGGGACCUCUGCUUUACCAAUCUAUAGCUGGGCUGCUUCACUCACCAGCACCCACUCAGGACUGGCAGGCAGCAACUUGAAGAUGACCCCACCCACUGCCUCGCUGUGAACAGGUGAGCCGAAAGGACACAUGGAAACUGUUAGGUAUCCAAGAGAUUAAAUAUCUGCCACUCAGCCAAUAUGGCAAUCAAAUACUGUACAGUAUUCCACCAAGAGAAGGUAAAUUCCACGAAAGAUCAAAACAGAUCAAAACUUCUUUGUGUGUGAAUGUGAAUUUAUUUGAACUGUAAUUACGCCAUAAAAUUAUUUUUGUUUGGUAAACAAUGGUUUAUGUUGGGGCUUAGAAAUCAAAAAGACCCUCACAAACAUCAUAAUGCAAGUUUUGCCAAAUGUCAGAUUUUGUCAGAUCAGUGAUAAUGAUAUCUGCGUUAUGUUUGACAUGUUGGUUUAUUCCUACAUUUCAGCUGGUCUCUUAACUACUAUUCCACCAUGCCAACUAACAAUUUCUGCUAAUAGGAUUACAACUAGUUACUAAUAUACCUUAAAGAUUUAGAAGAAAUUAUGCACUAUUAAAGGCUACUUAAAGGCAAUUUAGGCUACAAAUGAGAGUUUUUUGUUAUAUGUUUCCUAUAUUUAUUAGUUAUAAGUGAGACCAUAUCUUAAAAAUUGAGAGCCAAAGUCAAAUUCCUAUCACAUUGCAGCACGUUCACAAUGCAAGAGGAUGGUAAUAGCAAGCAUAUGGUAACUAUAGUUACAUGGACUCUUCAAAGGAGCUCAGUGCUGACCUGGAGCAAGAACAAACAUGCAAGAGUAGACUGUGAAAGCAGUGCAGAAUUAUACCCUGGGCUACGUGUUGUCAAGUUUGCGAGAUGGAGAAGGUAACUGCUCUAUAUGCUUAACCAUGCUCAUGCAAAAUCUUAAUUUUUCUGUACACCAAAUCAAGCAAUGACCAAGUAGUAAUAGUUGUGAACUUAAUGCACUUUAAGAUAGCAUCAUGUCUUUUGUUAGAGCUUCUUCAGUAUCACUAUGUUCUCUGGUGCAUAGAUAAAACUGCAAAUCACAGAAAGAAGGAGACAAGAGGGUGGAAGAUAAAAGGUCACGGAAACUUCAGGCUGCUUUUCUGUUCAUGCUCUUGUUUUGCAGGGGGGUUUCAAAGACAGAAGUCAAAACAACACAUGUUGUCAACAUGGUAACAGCUGGUAAGAGUGGCGUCAUGGGGCAGAGGAAUGUCAAGAGUCAUAGAUCUUUUAUCCAUCAGGCCAAAAUAGUUACCCAGACAUGCUUGAAACCACGCACAGGAGCAGUGUGAAAUCCUAACAUGUACAUAUCCAACUUACCUCAUGCUAACCUUUACCAACGCCUUUCUGGUGACCAAUCUCACAAGAUGCUUCAAACUAGAGAAAUCAUGAGUGAUGAAGUCAAACAAAGUAGACACACACAUAUCCACAUGAAAAAUAUAGAUAUGUUUUGCUGACGUAAAGUACAAUGAUUUUGCCACAUUAUUAAUCCCAAGAUGGGACUAAUUGUAAGAUGCGGAAAUAAUUUUCUUUCUCUGUCAGUGCAGUUCCUGGCAGACGUUCAGCUGCAGGAGCUGCAGCGUACUUCUGACUGCCCUAAAACUAAACAGCAUAUUUGCACUCCAUGCCAAUGUAUGACUUUGUCAUCUUUAAAGCUUUAAAUAAACAACCAGUUGAGUAGGCAUAUAUAGUUUCUUCAAAACGGCUUCCUUUUUAAGUCAACACCACUCAGCAAAGAUACACCAAGCAACCAUAAGUCAAAACGAAAUGACAAAACAGUUUUUCCAUCUGUCCAAACAUUCCUCUGAGAGCUUUUUCCAUUACUACGUUAUACUGAAACAUCUAGCACUGCUCGAAUCAGUACUGAAGAUGGGGAAAAUGAGGAAUAACUAUAUGAAAAGAUACAAAUACAAAAAAUUCAAAUUCUUGAUGACAGAACAUGAAAAAUACAAAAAGCAGACCAGCCAUGAAGUUUUAAAGUUAUGACCUUUGACACAGGACACCUGCUAGGCGUGUGUCUCAUAACCACAUCCACAGGCAGAACUGAAUUGACAAUAUUCCUUUUUUAUUUAAGUGUUAUUUUAUUUCAGGUCUUGACAUAACACUAAUGCCUCCAUUAGAAGAUUUUUUUCCAGUACAGCGGAAAUUCUCAACAGGGAGUUUGUCUCAGUCGAUAAAUCAUUUAGUCGAUCAACAGGAAAUGCAUCUACUGAUUGUUUAAAUUUUCUCAAAGGUAAGGAUGUCCUGCUUGUCUUUGUCUUAUAUCAUAGUAAAUUCUUGAACUGUUAAGAUUUUACCUUGGACUUGGGGGAACUGGAGGGGACAUUUUUCACUAUUUUCCAAUGUUAUAUUGACCCAUCAAUUUAUCGAUUAAUCAGGGAAAUAAUAAUUAUUUGAUGAUGAAAAUAAUUGUUGGUUGCAGUUGUUUUUCCUUUGAAUGUUGGUGUCUUUUAGCAGCAAGAGGAGAAGGGACCGAAGAAAUAACUUCAAUGAAUAGAGCAUCAGGCACUGACUGACAUAUUGGAAUUUCCUCACAUCUGUGGACCAGUGGCUCUGCUAACAUAGAACAAUGAACCAUUAGAAACAGGUAGGUAACUCGCGUGGUACAGCACACGCACUUAAAUAAUAGGUUCAGGCUAAACAGUACAGCUAAAUCUCUAACCCUCUAAGGUGUAGCUAAAACAUCAGCCUUUUCCAUUAGAGUUGAAAUUAAGUACUAUCAGUGCCCUGAAAGUGGGCUAGAACACCCAUCUCUCACGGUCUCUCCACUAAGUGGGGAAAAAGCUCUUUGACAGAGAUGUCGAGUAACUCAAACUCCAUUUCACUCUAUCAACUUGACAGCAUAGACAGGCCCAAACAGGGCCAGGCCCCACCAAGUCUGAUGUGGUAGCCUCAUGUGAGAAGAAUAUACAUUUAAGUGGUGUCUAAGAAGUAACUCCUAGCGGCUUAAAACCACUUUAUAAUACUUGACCGACAGGUUGAGGAAAAGCGGGCGCUCUCUACCUGUGUCAAAGGGAGGCCAACCUAAAUGCUUCCAGACUUUCACGCCCUGUUUCCUCUUAUUUCAUCUCAUUGCAUCUGCUCCCAACUUGGAUCACCCACAAAAUAACUUCUAUCCUUACUAGAUGGGCUCCUCUCUUCAUUUUUUUCCAAUGCCCUGCACAAACUCAUUGUGGUUUGGACUCAACUCUUAUUCCUUCAGAUUGGGUUUUGCGUCUACAUUAGGAUAAUCUUUUAACUGCGCUCUAAGCUACAUUAAAUUGUGGUGAUGUUUAUGCAAAGUAAAUCUAUUUUGUGCAAUAUGUUAUCCAACUGAUUGACCUAUAAAAGACUUCCAUUCCUAAUGUGAAGGCCUUGCUAUAAUCCAAAUAUUUUGAAUCUUCAGAUAACAUCUCACAGCAUCUGGUUUUCUGCCUCCCAAGUCUUAAUGGUUUGCCAAAAUCUGUAGGCCAUAGUGCUUGACUUUUAACCAGCAAAUCAUCAACUGAACUAUUUUGCUUUCUCUCAAAGGCCAAAAUGAAACAUUAUAUCCCGACUCAGAUUUAAAUUAAAGCCAUGACAAGAACCAUGCUUGUGAGGACCAGAGCGGAUUCUUCCAGCCGCUGCUUCAAUUGCUUACACUCAACUGGCAUAUGGGUAGGAUCAGGAAACACAAGCCCAAUGAUGUCACAACCAACUGACCCAAGGGUGACAGGUUUGGAGAAUGUACUUGCCCACUGCCCUCAGGCCAAAGUAUGUCAAUGUUCUGCAUGUGGAUUUCAUUUAAAGCAGCAUGAUUAGUUCACAGCCGCACAGCUGCGAUCCCCUACCAUGGGAAACCCACUCUUGACAGGAAACAGUAUGUUUUUCUUAGCAACAAACAGGCAUAAAUUACUAAAAUGGUGCCUUGGUUGCUAAUUUAUCACAUAGAUGCUGCUUGCACACAUUUGACAUCAACAUUGUUUUCAGGGUAAUUUCCAUUAGAUAAUGAUAUUUACAUUGCUGAUAGUUUAUGUUGAACUGUGUCUGCAAUCCUAUAUUUGUGCAAUAAAUGUGAUAAUUGCUUCGUGUCUUUUUGUUUGUAUAUAUCACAAAUGUGUUUUGAUAGCCUGUAUUUGGAAAAUGAAGGUGGUUUUUAGAGUUUCUGAAGCUGUCACAUGUACAAGAUUAAAAAUGAUUAAGGGUCCAGGGAGAAAAAUGGAGGCAGAUCAUUUUGGAGACAAAUUUAAGAAAAGAUUUAAUUAAAUUUGUAAACUUGCUUUUGGGCAUUAUUGUCCUUCUGUAAUUGAAUGCCAACAUAAAAGAUUACUCAAUAUUAUAUUACUGAGUAAUUGAAUAACAUAUUACUCAAUAAUAUUGUUAAGAUGGUACUACAUCAUCAUUAAUAAAGCCAUUUCCCAGGUCUUUAGGUUUAUUUCUAGGAAUGUAGCCUACAUUUUAAACAUAAGAAAAAAAAAUAUUGAAGAAGUGGCUUGGCUAAAAUCCCUUACAAGUAAUACUAUCUGUGGAAUAAUCAAUGUAUGAAUUACAUUCCCAAGAACGGAUUAAACAGUAUACAAUAAUAUAAUACCUUUUGGGAGAAUAUAGAGCAUGUGUGAAAUAUAUUUACAAAAAAAGCAUUUUAGUCUUGUUGCAAAUUGAUGUGACUGAUGUUUGUGGCGCAAAAGUGUUUUUAUUUAGCAUAAAAAAAUAUUUUGGGGAUGCUACCAACCAAAGAGGCCAUGACAAGACAUAAGAAAUAUUUUGACAAUGUAAUACAAGAUAUCCUAGACCAUUUUAUCCUCCUCUGACAUUUAAAAGAGAAUCAGCUCCUAAACAUUUGCUUGAUCACUAGGACAAUAUUACAAUUUUGGUUCUAUGAAAUGAUAAAAAAGUUUAAAGACCGUCUGAACGCUUCCUUGUGUACAUGAUAGAAGUCUGAGUCUAAGAUUGUGUGAAGGUAAUUUGAUAACUGAUGUUAUCGAAACUUAAGAUUUACGUUUAAUCAUUUUGAUCAACACUGGAUGCUGCAUGUAGGCGAGUGUUACAUCAUAAAGAGCUACAUUAAAUGAAUGCUUUACUGCAGUUGGUAAAUUAGAGGUUUCUUAUUGUAAAUGUAUUAAUAUAAUGAUACCCCUAUAUUUACUUGAAUUACUAAAUUCAUUGAAUGAGUGCCUGAUAUUACUUCUCACACAUGUGCUUUGAAACGCUAUUUUAAUUUAAGUAAGUAUUCCCAAUAAAAAAUACAUAAUUCAAUUAAAGUUUUCUGUAAAUGGCUUUCUAGGGCAGAUCCAAAAAUCUCAUGAACUAAAAAAACCUUGCCAGCAUGAAUUAAUUUCAAUUAUUGUUGUAGUAAAAGUAAUACUCUGUCCGGCUCCUGCCAAAUGCAUUACAGAGAGUUCCAUUAUUGCAAUGGUAAACAGAUGUGCCACACAGCGCCUUUGAUUUGGACUGUGUAUGUUUUCCCCAGGGAGAUUACAAAAUAAAAUGUUAAAACGCAUAAAAGGAAAAGAGCUGUAGUGUUUUUACACUACAUUCUGCAGAGGUACGUGAAGUAUAGAAACCCCCACUGACUUAAUUAUUAUAAGGAUUACUGAAAAAGGCCACUACACAGAAUGCCCUGAAAUGAGUCAAAGUCAAAUGAGGGUCAAAUGCCAAAAUACCACAUAAUGACCUAUAACUUAAGUCUUUCCUAUGAGCUGGUUACAGUAACACUACAUAGUACAUGAACAUUAUGUAAAAGUAUUGCAUACACAUGGUUUAUCUGAGCAAAUUAGUGUACUACGAAGGUGCUAUAUAUGAAAGAAUACCUAAUGUAUCUAAACAAAAACUCUUCCCCUAUUAAACCAAUAAACUAUUUAUCCCAAGUUUUA